rnacentral:rRNA from 1 species
UACGGGGGGGGCAAGCGUUGUUCGGAAUUACUGGGCGUAAAGGGCUCGUAGGCGGCCAACUAAGUCGGAUGUGAAAUCCCCCAGGCUUAACCUGGGAACUGCAUCCGAUACUGGAUGGCUUGAAUUCGGGAGAGGGAUGCAGAAUUCCAGGUGUAGCGGUGAAAUGCGUAGAUAUCUGGAGGAAUACCGGUGGCGAAGGCGGCAUCCUGGACCGACAUUGACGCUGAGGAGCGAAAAGCUAGGGGAGCAAACGGG